UGACGCCUCACAUGGCUCGGAAUUACUGGAGGAACCAUACAGCUGGAGCUCCACAGCUCCAGAGCUCCAUUGCAGAGAGUAUUUUGAUUGCUCAAUCCCCCUCGCAUUCCAGCACUCCUUUCGUUACCAUUAAACUGCCAUACGCCUUAGAAUUUCCCGAUAAUUCCAUUGCAACUACAUGUUGUACACAUACCCGAGAAUUCCCCAUUUAAAUGAAGUCGCGGCAAGUGCUUCGCCGCUGAUUAGGAUUCGUAGAAGUGCAGGCACCAUAAAAGCGAAAGUCUUGACGCCAUUAGAGAGCAAUCAACGCCGGCAACUGGAGGCACUGGCCCAGUUGGAGGAGAAUGAGGAGGAGGCAGCUCAUAAAGUGUCAACUAUGACUGGUGCCAUGAGUACACAGACAGCCCGAGAUAGGGGGCCAGAUAGACAACUAUGGCCAUGGCCAGAUCCAGAAUGUGGGACCAUGCGAUGCUCAAAUACGAAUUGGAAUCAUGGAAUCGGAGACAACGCGACUCGACCCACUAUAUUUGGCCUCGUGACGUUAUGGGUUGGCAAACAAAUACGUAUCCAACACUCGCCAGGUUGUUGAUGCACAGUAACAAAUACAGAACACUGAGAUAUCAAAAAACGAAAUUUUGUGACCUGUAUUUGCAUACAUGAAUCAAAGUUUAUUCAUUGUCUAAAAAGAUGAUGAAACUUAUAAAAACAAAU